GACGAACGCUGGCGGCGUGCUUAACACAUGCAAGUCGAACGGAAAGGCCCUGCUUUUGUGGGGUGCUCGAGUGGCGAACGGGUGAGUAACACGUGAGUAACCUGCCCUUGACUUUGGGAUAACUUCAGGAAACCGGGGCUAAUACCUGAUAGGAGCUCCUGCUGCAUGGUGGGGGUUGGAAAGUUUCGGCGGUUGGGGAUGGACUCGCGGCUUACCAGCUUGUUGGUGGGGUAGUGGCCUACCGAGGCUUUGACGGGUAGCCGGCCUGAGAGGGUGACCGGCGACAUUGGGACUAAGGUACGGCGCAGACUGCUACGGGAGGCAGCAGGGGGGAGUAUGGCACAAUGGGGGGAAGCCUGAUGCAGCAGCGCCGCGUGCGGGAUGACGGCCUUCGGGUGGUAAACCGCUUUCGCCUGUGACGAAGCGUGAGUGACGGUAAUGGGUAAAGAAGCACCGGCUAACUACGUG
rnacentral:rRNA from 1 species